ACGGAUUGCAAAGAGGCGUGCUCUACCUACACACCGGUAUAGGAAAUGCACGGAUCCUUUGCUGCAGCACCUACGGACUGCCAAUAAUCACUCCUAGCUCUUGGAAAUUUUGCAGAUUCCCGGAAUCUAUUGUUCUGUGAAACGGUGGUUGCUGAAAAUGGUCACCUGUGUUUGGCCUGCAGGAAGGAAUCAAUUCACACCAGCCUCCAGCUUUUUUAUCGCUUCGCUUGUCCUCUCCUGUUGACCUCCCUCGUUGACCUCUUCUCCGCGCUGCGUUUAAUGGAGGAGAGGAACUUCACCCUGAUAGAGGGAGCAGAUAUGAUUUAUGGGGGAGAUGAUACCUCCGAACACAUGCAGUGUGACUUUGAAUUGUGCUGUAGGAUGAG